rnacentral:rRNA from 1 species
UGCAGUCGAACGGUGAAGCCAAGCUUGCUUGGUGGAUCAGUGGCGAACGGGUGAGUAACACGUGAGCAACCUGCCCUGGACUCUGGGAUAAGCGCUGGAAACGGCGUCUAAUACUGGAUAUGAGCUCUCAUCGCAUGGUGGGGGUUGGAAAGAUUUUUCGGUCUGGGAUGGGCUCGCGGCCUAUCAGCUUGUUGGUGAGGUAAUGGCUCACCAAGGCGUCGACGGGUAGCCGGCCUGAGAGGGUGACCGGCCACACUGGGACUGAGACACGGCCCAGACUCCUACGGGAGGCAGCAGUGGGGAAUAUUGCACAAUGGGCGGAAGCCUGAUGCAGCAACGCCGCGUGAGGGAUGACGGCCUUCGGGUUGUAAACCUCUUUUAGCAGGGAAGAAGCGAAAGUGACGGUACCUGCAGAAAAAGCGCCGGCUAACUACGUGCCAGCAGCCGCGGUAAUACGUAGGGCGCAAGCGUUAUCCGGAAUUAUUGGGCGUAAAGAGCUCGUAGGCGGUUUGUCGCGUCUGCUGUGAAAUCCCGAGGCUCAACCUCGGGCCUGCAGUGGGUACGGGCAGACUAGAGUGCGGUAGGGGAGAUUGGAAUUCCUGGUGUAGCGGUGGAAUGCGCAGAUAUCAGGAGGAACACCGAUGGCGAAGGCAGAUCUCUGGGCCGUAACUGACGCUGAGGAGCGAAAGGGUGGGGAGCAAACAGGCUUAGAUACCCUGGUAGUCCACCCCGUAAACGUUGGGAACUAGUUGUGGGGACCAUUCCACGGUUUCCGUGACGCAGCUAACGCAUUAAGUUCCCCGCCUGGGGAGUACGGCCGCAAGGCUAAAACUCAAAGGAAUUGACGGGGACCCGCACAAGCGGCGGAGCAUGCGGAUUAAUUCGAUGCAACGCGAAGAACCUUACCAAGGCUUGACAUAUACGAGAACGGGCCAGAAAUGGUCAACUCUUUGGACACUCGUAAACAGGUGGUGCAUGGUUGUCGUCAGCUCGUGUCGUGAGAUGUUGGGUUAAGUCCCGCAACGAGCGCAACCCUCGUUCUAUGUUGCCAGCACGUAAUGGUGGGAACUCAUGGGAUACUGCCGGGGUCAACUCGGAGGAAGGUGGGGAUGACGUCAAAUCAUCAUGCCCCUUAUGUCUUGGGCUUCACGCAUGCUACAAUGGCCGGUACAAAGGGCUGCAAUACCGUAAGGUGGAGCGAAUCCCAAAAAGCCGGUCCCAGUUCGGAUUGAGGUCUGCAACUCGACCUCAUGAAGUCGGAGUCGCUAGUAAUCGCAGAUCAGCAACGCUGCGGUGAAUACGUUCCCGGGUCUUGUACACACCGCCCGUCAAGUCAUGAAAGUCGGUAACACCUGAAGCCGGUGGCCCAACCCUUGUGGAGGGAGCCGUCGAA